rnacentral:rRNA from 1 species
CCCUUAGAUGUUCUGGGCUGCACGCGCGCUACACUGGUGCGUUCAGCGAGUUUAGCACCUUAACAGAUAUGUUUGGGUAAUCUUCUGAAAACGCACCGUGAUGAGGAUCGAUUAUUGUAAUUAUUAAUCGUCAACGAGGAAUUCCUAGUAAGUGUGAAUCAUCAGUUCGCGCUGAUUACGUCCCUGCCCUUUGUACACACCGCCCGUCGCUGCUACCGAUUGAGUGGUCCGGUGAAUUAUUCGGACCGGUGGACUGUGGGGAAACCCGCGGCCUGCUGGGAAGUCUUGUGAACCUUAUCACUUAGAGGAAGCAGAAGUCGUAACA